UACGAAGGGUGCAAGCGUUAAUCGGAAUUACUGGGCGUAAAGGGUGCGUAGGCGGUUGUUUAAGUCUGUCGUGAAAUCCCCGGGCUCAACCUGGGAAUGGCGAUGGAUACUGGACAGCUAGAGUGUGUCAGAGGAUGGUGGAAUUCCCGGUGUAGCGGUGAAAUGCGUAGAGAUCGGGAGGAACAUCAGUGGCGAAGGCGGCCUUCUGGACCAAUACUGACGCUCAUGCACGAAAGCGUGGGGAGCAAACAGG
rnacentral:rRNA from 1 species